AGCGCAGGCGGUUGCUUAGGUCUGAUGUGAAAGCCUUCGGCUUAACCGAAGAAGUGCAUCGGAAACCGGGCGACUUGAGUGCAGAAGAGGACAGUGGAACUCCAUGUGUAGCGGUGAAAUGCGUAGAUAUAUGGAAGAACACCAGUGGCGAAGGCGGCUGUCUGGUCUGUAACUGACGCUGAGGCUCGAAAGCAUGGGUAGCGAACA
rnacentral:rRNA from 1 species